GCCCGGUGCAGUAGUUUUCUGGUUUGCUUUUGGUUCGACUAAUAUUCUUUAGUUCAGGCAGUGAACUACAAUGUGGAAAAUAGUAUUAACAUUGAAAUGAAUGCUGUAAACUCAAAUUUCUAAAGUGAUCUGUAAAUAGGUACUAGGAAACUUCUGAGACAGUGAAAGAAAAAGAAAAAAGAAUCUACUGGACAUACAGUUUAUAAUGAUUUGCAGCUACCGUGUGUCUUCUGUAGUUUGGAUUUGUUAGGGUUUUUUUAAAUCAGAUUGUAAAAUCUAAACCUCGUAACCUUACAUCUGUAGUUCUUCCUGACACUCUUCCUAGUGUGAAAUCAUAAUGGAAAAAUCAUAACUUCAACAAUUAAUUUUGCAAGAGUCCUUUAAAGUAUGUAAUAAAGGAAUUAAAUUUGGUAACUUCUUGGACUUCUAUUAAAAGGUUGGACUUCUAACAUAAAAUCAACACAAUUAGAAUGCUUGUUAGUUUCUCCAGGAUUUUUUAGUACUGAAAAGACUUCACAUACUAAAACAUUUGAUGUUUUACAUUCAUCGCAUAGAAAAUGCAGUGAAUGCGCACCUCCCCCUGUGACCUAACAAGUACACUUUAAUAAACCUCAGAAGUGACCUUCUGAAGUCCGGCUGCUUCAGAGCAGAUAGGUUGUGAAUCUUCAUUUGUAUAUUUGGUUUUAUUUUUUCAUUUACAAAUAGCAUGGAUCCCCUUAUGAUGGGGAAGAAGUCAGCUUCUAGAAGGAGGAGGGAGAUAUUACUGUGUUUAUUGCUGUGGGUUAGAUUUGGUGUUCUUAGAUCAUGGGCAUUUUACUGCUGUUUUACUGCAUCUUUACAGUUCCAAGAUUCUGUAAGCGGAGGAGCCCUUUGCUAGCAUCAGGCUAUGAGUUGCUAUGUAAGAUGAACUGUGUUUGUUUACUUGUCCAUCAAUUCAAAUGUAAGACUGCCUUUCACUAUGUAUUAUGUUAAGAUCUGUAAAAUAACGUAUGAACUCCUGAUCCUGGAUCGUGAAGGAUUGUGUUUAUCUGGAUAAGUACUGAUCCUUGCUCUUGUGGUAAAUGGGUGAAUUGGUUUGCAGUAGUUGGGGGGCAGGUGUCUCUGUAUGUGUGUGUAUGUAUUGUACACAAACAACCUUACUUACAAUCCAGACAGUCGGCUGUUAGCUUAUAUAAGGCCUUUAAUUCUUGGAAUUAAAAAACUUUACUUCUUUAGGUGGAGUUCAGACCUCAAGAGCACGGAUCAUGCAAUUCCCUCCACAUCUCCUAGUCGAGUCCAUAGUUCAAUGUCACUUCAGCCUUUUCACAUUUCGUAGAGUUUCCAGUGCCUUGAUCUAAUCCAUGUAGUUUCUACCCAAACUGCAGAUGCUGCUUUAUCAGGGUUUUGAUGAAAAUUAUGUCUCACUGAAUAUUAUAUGCAAUCAUAGCAUAUGCUGCCAGCUGUAUUCUUGUAUUGGCUUUGUGUAUGCUGAAACUAGAGAAAUGAGGGAAUUUAAGAAAAAUCAAACUCCUUUUGCAGCCUAUAAAUGUUAGGGGUAAUUCUAAGAUGUAUUUCUUUACAGUUCAUGGUAUUGUCUCUCCUGAUAUGUGAUUACUGAGAUGACUCCAACUGUAAAUGGGUGUUCAGUAACCUGAAGAAGUAUGAAUGCAAGUUCUUAUCCUAAAGCCUAACACUUAGAGGAUCAGCGUUCUAUUCUGUAGUAUUCAUUUAUGAAAGUCACAUCAUCCUACCUCGGUGGAUGGCUUGGCCUCGUGAAUAGUUCAAGACUAUUGGAUGACUACACUUUAUGCAAAAUCUGGAAUCUUCCUGCCUGGACUCCUUUCUGUUUUCUAAGGGUUCAUGUUGGGGAGAGGUCUAAAACGCAAGCUGAGUGACUAUGAGGAGAACAUGGCUGGUCUCUCGAGUGCCUUUGAUUCCAGUCGAAAUCUGCCAUACCCACUUAAGAGGCAGUUGGUGCUUAAUAUGUGCCUCACCAAGUUACAGACAUACAAAAUGCUGGUGGAACCGAACUUGCACCGCUCUGUCCUCAUAGCCAACACAGUACGGCAAAUACAAGAGGAAAUGAGACAGGAGAGUAAUCAGCAGCCAAUUAAUGUCUGCCCUGGCAUUACUCCUAGUUCUCACAGCUACACAGGGAUGGAAUCAUCUGGGAUUUCUCUCCAGUUGCCUUCAGGUAUUAGUCAGCAAGAGUCUAACUGUUGCGACUUGCGGUCUGUAGAAGACCCAAUUGAAAAUAGCCUGCUGAUAGUUUCAGAUGAUGAUAUGUCAUCUGCUAUUUCAUCUAUUCUGAAGGAUUUAGACUUUGUAGAAGAUAUAAGCCCACCUACUUGUCUGGUUCCUACUGGAGAUGACCAGCCAAAGUUUCCAGAAAAUACUGGUCUAAAACUAGAAGAUGAUAGACAGGAUUUGAAGGGAGCUGAAUGUGUGUUUGGUUCCUUUGAGAUUUCAAAUUCAACUAGUUACUUGAAGGAUUUGGCAAUAGAUGACAUUUUUGAAGAUAUUGACACUUCAAUGUAUGACUCAGACUUCUGUUGCCCUCCACUAAUGUCGCCCAGACCACCAUCUCUUGCUACAGAAGAACCAUUGAAAACCUUUCCAUCUUGUAAUUCUUCUUCAGCAAGCAACAUUCAGAUAUGUAGAACAGAUCUGAGUGAGUUGGACCACAUCAUGGAAAUUCUUGUUGGAUCCUGAUACUUGUUUUACCCAAAGAUACUUUUUAACUGCCACUUUCGUUUGGUUUCAGGAUAAAAGCCACUGGAAAAGUUGUAAAGAAUUCCUUAAAACACAAACUAAAAUAAUUUGUCCAUAGUGGGAUUUUCUAAGUAAUUUCAAAACCAAAAGAGUGGCAGAUUUAAAUUUUUUUUUUAAGAAAUAUUUAUUUAUCAGAACUGUGCAAUCAUCAUUUUCCUUCCAGGGCAUGUGUGGAACAAUAGGCACAUACCCUUCUCACCCCUCAUGCCUCUUUCAAUAAACUUUUUUAUGUGCAAUUUUUAAUUUGUCAGAAGAAAUUUACAUGCAAAAGAAAUUUCAUAUGAGAUGAUCUUUUACAAAGCCUCCACUUUAUUUUUAAUAUCAGAGUCUAUGCCAAGUUGGCAUCCGUCAAGUUGCGUAGUUGGAUUGUGUGGAUUGCAGAUGCAUUACUAGAGAUGGGUAUAUUUUAAAAAUGAGACGCACUGCUUUCUUUUGGUCAGAAAAGCAGAUCAAGACACUUGCCAACGAAGUCUCUUGCGUUUUCUAAAGCAUUCAGAACUAUUUAUUUUUGUAAAUUUUAUAGUCUUUCUACAUUUUACUACGUUAUUUCAUCAUAGUUCAAAUAUAAUGGACUUCUAGUUGGAUGUGUUUAGCACUACCUCUGAGCUGAAAUGCUUUAACUCUUUCCAGUGCUUCGUCUAAGACUGCAGAUUUUUUUGUUUCUAUUUUUUUUCUGGGGGAAAGUACUUCUAACUCAUUAAGGUGAUCUUUUGACAGUGACCUAGCUGAUUUGUGAAAUCAAGGGUAUUCAAUGUUUAAAAACUUUUAAGUAUUUACAAAUGUAAUUUAUAUGUAGAUUGUGCAAUUUAACAUUUUUCUGUCAGUAUUACGUGCUUAGAUUUUGAAUAAUCUUGGCGUUCUUUAAAUUAAAACUUAUUAUGUACAGGUAGCUUUUUAAUCUGUUUUGGAAAACACUGUCCUUCAACCCUGCUUUCACUACAAAGUUUAAGAUGAUUUUUAUGUGCAAUAUUAUUUAAAAAGAUACACAUUUGUAUACCUGGUAUUGUGGAAAGAAACGCUUCAAUUUAAAACUUCUAGCACCUUUGGAGGAUACUCAAGAGAGUCAACAUUGCUGUAUCCUUUAAGAAACAAAGUUGAGAACACUUCUUACUACGCCAGUGCUUACUGCUUUGAAUGCUCCUGAAAUACUCAUGGAUGCGUGGUGAGUCAGUGCUGAUGACUAAGUACCAUCGUGCCGCUGUGUCGGUACUGCUGAGCUCAGGGUCUGACCGCUUGGGCACAGCGCCAGGGCUGGGGCCUGCAUGGGCUUCGGAACGUCGCAGUGGCAGCUGCUGCUGCUGCUGCAGCCUGGCCCGGGGAAGGAGGGGUGCGUGUGGAUGGCAGGUGUGUAUAUAAGUAUAUAUAAGCGCGCUCGUCAAUUGAAGAUGAGAUUUGCAGUGAGAACUAUUUUUCUGUAAGGCAGUUUGGAUAUUUGUUUCAGCUUGAACUGAGGUCUGUAUUGAUCAUAUUGUCUUCUGAAUUACACACUUGCACAUUAGUUUUUGGGUUUGUUUUUUAAUUCUAUUUUUUAAUUAUAAAACCUUUACUUCGUUCUUGAAAGCUGCAGCACCUAUCUUGUAAGAAAAUUUGCAGUUGUAAAAGCUUUGCUUUGGUUUGUUGUUUUGGGUUUGUUUUUCUGUUGUUCUGCUGAGAUUUUCAUUAAUGGGGCAUGGGCAGAGGAAAAAACUGUUGCCUGUGUGUUGCAUCUUACAAAAGUUGAAAUCCUGGCCCUGCUGAAGGGACCAGGGCGUCACCGAGUUAGUUAUUUCUAGUCUUAACUGAUGCUGUGGCACACCUACCCUGUGCAAAGAUCUCUAUUUUUUACUGUGACUAUUUUGGUUAACAGUUAGCUGCCGUUACAGUUUGGUAUCCCAAACCAAUGGAGAACCAGUUCGGGUCACAUCCUCGCAGCCAUCUGGGUUGUUUAGCAACCGAAGGGUAUAAAUGUAUUUAUAUGCAUAUAAUGUAUUGAUUCUAAUAUAAAACUUCUGAUCUAAAGUAUUUUGAAUUGCUGGAUAAAGGGAUUUGUUUGAAGAGUGUAUAAAUAGUUCUUGAAGAGGUACAGCUUCAGAAUGUACACAGAUUGUGCAUUGUGUAUAGACUACUCUGGCUUUUCCUCAGCCUCUACUUUUGUAUUAAAGAUAUGACUGAAUAAAUCCUUGAAAUAUUAAGGGCCUUCUGCACUGUGAUGAAACAGAGUUGUGGUUAAAAAUGUCUUUAAAUUCAGUGAUGAGUGAUAAAAAGACUGCAUCUAAUUUCUUUUGCAUUUGAAAAUAUGGAAUGUUACUAUGCAGUAAAGAUAUUUUGGUAUGAAAAUUGUAUCAUGUAGCAAAUAGUGAACACUUACUAAAUCCACAGACUCACCUUGCAGCCCCUACAGAAACGUGAGAGAAGACAACUUGUUCUUCAGCGUUUACAUGCUGAAGGUUUUCCUAUAAUUUGGAAAAAGAAUAGAUUGUUGGUAAAUGUUUUAUCAACAAUUAAGAAUGCAUUUUUUGUUGAAGUGCUUGCUACAAAGCUCUGUUUCUAAUUGGUUGCUUGCAUCACAGUGCCAAGACCGUAAGUUGGUGUGUAAUGCAGUUCGGUUAUGUAUGGAAUUAUGUGCAAAGGGAAGUUUAAUUUUUAAAUAUGCACAAAUUAAUUUUAAAAUCCUUCCAUGUAAAAUGAAGUUAGAGGCUAGUUGUGGUGGACCUAUUUAUUGUACGUUUGGAAAUAAAAGCCACAGUUUUGUAGUUUAACCAUU